GGCGGGGCCGGGGCCUGGCCGUCCCACCGCCGUCUGCCCCCCGCGCCGGGGCCGGGCCCAGACGCACUUCCUCAAUCCUGAGGCGGGCGGGCGGGGAGGGCGGCGCGAAGAGCGCGCAGAGCAAGGCCGCCGCCAGCUCUCCCAGGAACCGUCGCGAGGCGUCCCCUCGGCGGCCGCCUCAGUUUCCCUGGCCGUAAAACGCGGGCGAUGGCGCUCGAUGCCCCGGGAGACGCCGGGGUCCGCGGGCCCUUCCGGCACCGGGUCCUCCUUCAGGUUCGGGCACCCGGCUGCCUCCACGCGGGGCGAGCGCGGCGAUGGGAUCGGUCCGUGCUGCGCUCAGCCCCGCUUUCGCUAUCCCUCUGCUCCAGGGGCAGCAAAAUCAGCAGAUGAGCCCCCAGCGCGCCUGCGGCCCACACACUGCGGCCGUAACAGUUAAACAGACGGGGAACAUUCAUGUGCGUAGAGCUCUUCACGGGGCGAUACAGAAAUGUGUCGUUCUAAAGCGUUAACGACCUGCAAUUUGCAUAUCCUCCAACACAUGGAUUUUACUGAUUCAAUUAUGGAUGUGUGCAAAGAAUCUGCUGCUCGCACCCUGUGAGGAGGGUUACCUCUGUGGAGCCGGUGAAGGCGAUCUUGUUGAUCUGAGGGUGAGAAGAAAUUGCUGCUCCCACUGUGGGCCCGAAUCCUGGCACAAUGUUCACCACUCCUGGAGGGAACCCGGCCUGGGAAGAAAUCAAGAUAGCACUUGAAGAAGAACGGACUUCAUCCACCACGGAUCCACAUUUGGGCCGAGAGAGCCGUGGCUGCCUCACAUCCCCACAGGGAACCCGGGCCGGGCUGGAUUUACCCAGGACCCAGAAGCAGUUGACCGUGGGCACCCUGGGAGCUGACCUGGGCUUCUCAUCCCCUGCUGCCAGCCCAGUGUGCAGGCUGGGCAAGGGGAGAUGCCCACUUCUCCUUCUGGGGGGGGACCCCAUCCCAAAGUGAUAUGCAGUGCAAAUGUGUGGUUAUGCUUCAAGGUGGCCAUGGCCCGCCUGUAGCACAGCACCUUUCCAUGUGGGGUGUGUGUGUGUGUGAGGGAGAGUGUGUGUAUGCGUUAAGGGGAGAGGGGUACCUUGAUCAGAAUGCCCUGCCCAGGAUCAGAGGCACCUGCAAAAUAUCUGCCAAGAGCUUCAGUUUUGUUUUUUCUUCUUUUUUUUUUUUUUGAGAUGGAGUCUUGCUCUGUCGCCCUGGCUAGAGUGUAGUGGCGCGAUCUUGGCUCACUGUAAGCUCCGCCUCCCAGGUUCACGCCAUUCUCCUGUCUCAGCCUCCUGAGUAGCUGGGACUACAGGUGCCCGCCACCACGCCUGGCUAAUUUUUUUUUUUUUAAGUAGAGAUGGGGUUUCACUGUGUUAGCCAGGAUGGUCUCGAUCUCCUGACCUCGUGAUCCACCCACCUCGGCUUCCCAAAGUCCUGGGAUUACAGGCGUGAGCCCAGUUUUCAUUUUUUAAUCAGACCCGUUAUUAUUCCAAAUGGUGACAGGGUAUCACUCCCUUAAAGUUCUUUGCUUGUUCAACCUGGGUCUCACCUGGAGCAAGCCCUUCUGGAAGGCAGGGACUGCCACCUCGUUCACGUUCAUGCCUCGUGUUUUUCAUAUACUAAGCCUCUUUAUCAGGCGAGAACACAAAACAAACGAGGUGGAGGAUGCUCUUCCCCACCUGUGCUGAGUCUUACUUAGAACACAUUAUUUCAGAAAAUCAAGAUUUUAGGCACGCUGCUUGAGUCUUUAGAUUUUUAGGCACUGUUUCUUAACAGUUGGGAUUUUCACAUUCCUAAGUCUCACCAGUGUGACUUAAUUAUGCCCCACAUCACCAAAGGAAAGUGGAAAAUUGGCUCAUCACCAGCUGUUCCCACCUUGCUUCUAAGCAACUGUGGACCUGCCUGCCGGUCAUAUCAGCCCGACUAAGAAGAGAAAGGAAUGGAUCUUUUCUUCUGUCCCUCUUUGCUUCCUGUUGCUUUCUCUAAAUCUUUGCUCCAUACAACCUGGGGAUGGAAUGACUAAAGGUAUGUCUGGAAGGAGGUGUCCCAUUGAGCCUCUGUUUCCCUAAGUUCUGGCUGCCUGAGGGAGAAGAGAUUGCAUUCAGAGCAGAGGGCACUGAUUAGCAGGGACCCGGCACACGGACUGCUGCAGCCGCCCAGCUAGAGCUGACGAGGCCACCUCUCCAGAGAAAAAUGGACCAUUUCAUAAACUGAGAAUGCAAAUCCCAGAGAACCUCCCAAAUAUUUGGCUCCCUCUUGGUUGACCCCCCCUGAAAAUUCUCUAGACAAACCACUGGGUCCUCAACCAUAGGUUUGAGCCCAUAAUAAGAGUUAAGCAUUCUCAUUAGGACCACUGGGAGGAAUGGAGUUUCUCCAGCUCAGUGGCCACAAGCAGGAGAAAGAACGUGCAGUCGCCAAACAAAACACUGGAAGUCAUUCCCUUCCCACUCGAUUGCCAGCAGUCUGCCACUGUCCCAUCUCGUGACGGUGGCCUGGUUCCUAGGAGUGGGAAUGUUACCAAGAACAUGUGAUAUUUUCUUUUUGGAUGUCUCACCUCUUUGAUCAGAGAGCCGAGAUAAAGGGCGGUGAGAGGUGUCUGCUCCGCAGGCUUCAGGACCAUGGUGUUCCCACAGCAGAGGGCGGGUGCCAGCUUCCACACCAGCAUCAGCAGGGGGAAGUUCCACUGCGACAGAGCACAGGGGCUUUGGAGGCCCAGAUCCACCCUCUUACCCUGUCCCAUGUGCUCAACGAUGCCUUUGUGGAGGACACUUGCUUUUCAUGGUCUGGAUUUGGGGUAUGUGGGGUAACAUAGGAGUGUGCAAUGAUCAGAACUGCAAUCCUGCACAGCACUUCCUAAACUGCAUUCUGGGUGGUACUAAUAGGCAGCCUUUGCAAAGAGGAUGCUGUUGCAUGUGUUCUACCUCUCCCUCUAAAACAUCUGCUGAAGACGUGUCCUCCUCCCUGCCUCCAUGGGCACUUUUUGAACCCUCACUUCAUGUUGCCACCUGGCUCUUCAGCUUCCUGCCUGGCUGUUGUUGCAAUGGCCAGAGGCUUCCCAAACAGACAGGCAGCAUUGUUGCACUUCUUGGGCACCUAUAAGCAUCCCCACCGCCCAAUGAAUAAAGUCCCGGCCCCUUAGCAGCCAAAGCUGCUGGAAGCUGGCCCACACCACCUGCCACGUGUGCUCACCCUUUUCCUCACUUUUGCUCCUGCCUGAGCUCUAGCCCCACCAGCUUUCCUGCUGUUCCCUUCCAAGUAGCCCAGCCACCUCUGCACUUUUGCCUAGGCCAUUCCCACUCCUUGGAAAAUCCUUUUCCUUGUUGAACAAGUCUUUCUUAUCUUUAAGGCCCAGCUAAGAGACCACCUUCCUGGGAAUGCUGGCCAUUCCUGACCACUCUGGCUGGGAACCACAGUGCUUUCUGUGGCAUGCCUAAAGCCGGUCUUAGGAGAGCAGAAAUGGGGUCUAAUCCAUCUCAAGAGCCCCCAAGCAUGGAGUUCCAUGCCACGAAGAAAAUGCUUGUUCAACGCUGGUGCAAUCAGAUAAAAACACACCAGAAAUUGAUUCCAAAGGACACAGGGCAGUGGGGCAGGAUCUACAUAGAAUCUACUGAGAAAGGCUGCCAUACUUACUGGAGUGAUGGCCCCACAGACACCAAUGGGCUCAUGCCUGGUGAAGCACACGACGUUGUCAUCUGGAAGAGGGUUACAUGGUGGGGAAGGACACACUCACUUAGUCCAGGUUAGGAACUUCAAGUAGUAAAAAGACAAGAAAGAAACCAACAAGGGUGCCAGAUUCAAGUCUUGUCUAUUAUACAGAGAAGUGAUUUGACCUCAACUUUAAAAGUGAAGUUCUUAGAAGAAGAAUUGGCAGUACCAUUUGGAGAGGGAGUGGGGUUGGGAAUGGUGCCUUAGGGAAACAGUCAGGGGGGGCUCUGGAUUAAUGAAAAGAUAUAGCCCCAAAGGGAUCCCAAAUGAAGCUAUAAUCCACCUUGCUCACCUGUGGGGAUGGUCUUGCCCUGGAUUUUGUCUGCCCACCCUGCAAAGUAUCUGAGGGUUCUAAUACAGCCCUCCAGGUCGAUGAAAAAAGCAUGAAGAAAUGGCUUCCCUGUAUCCAUCGUCUCCAGGGCCUGCAAUAACAAGAUGAUGUCUGUUUCGGACAUAGCUUGCUUUUCUUUUGCACUGUCAGGUUGUUAAAGAUGGAAGUUGGGGAGAGAACACAGUCCUAGGACAUUGCUCUGUAGACCUCACAGUCAGAUGCACCUCUUCAGAAAGCAUGACACCAAAUGUAAAGCGA
ensembl:lncRNA ALDH1A3-AS1 ALDH1A3 antisense RNA 1